UCUCAUUAUAUCGACAAAGUGUCCAUCCAAGUAAGAUAAAAGCGAACAUCUAACUCAGUUAACACUCGUUGCCUCCGUGCGCACCUAUUCUAUAUCUCCCUUCAAGUUCCUCGGCAAACACAAGGCCGCGUGAAAUGUAUGUAUAAGCGCAGGAACAAAUACGGAAUAAAUUUAACAUCGGUAUACGUUAUACCUGUACGUUAUACACAGAGAGACGUAAAACGCUGGCGCGGCGUUGCGGAAGAGGGAGGAUGGAAAAUGUAGUGGGACCAGGACUCGAGUAUGACGAGUUUGCUGGAAGAUAGCGCCCGAG
rnacentral:misc_RNA from 1 species